UACCAAUUCUAGCUCAACAAAAUCAUAAACUUAACAACAAAUACCCAAACUAAACAAAACAUUUACCUAAAUAAAAGUAUAGGAGAUAGAAAUUUUAAAAAUGAAGCUAUAGAGAUAGUACCGCAAGGGAAAGAUGAAAGAAAACUUAAAAGUAAAACAAAGCAAAGACUAAACCUUAUACCUUUUGCAUCAUGAUUUAACUAGAAAAUACUUGACAAAAAGAAUUUAAGCCAAAACCCCCGAAACCAGACGAGCUACUUAUAAGCAGCCUAUUAGGGCCAAUCCGUCUAUGUAGCAAAAUAAUGGAAAGACUAAUAAGUAGAGGUGAAAAGCCUAUCGAGCCUGGUGAUAGCUGGUUGUCCAGACUAGAAUUUUAGUUCAACCUUAAAUUUAUCUAAAGCAUACCACAUUUAAAGCCAAAUAUAAAUUUAAGCGUUAUUCUAAAGAGGGACAGCUCUUUAGAGAAUGGAAAAAACCUUAGUUAGAGAGUAAACAUUUUUAAUUACCAUAGUUGGCCUAAAAGCAGCCACCAAUUAAAAAAGCGUUAAAGCUUAACCCAAAAAAAUUUUAACUUAAUACCCCCACCAUAAAUGAUCUCCUAACUACCUUAACUGGACUAAUCUAUAAGCAUAUAGAAGAAAUAAUGUUAAAAUAAGUAACAAGAAUAGUAUUCUCCCUGCAUAAGCUUAUAUCAGUUCAAAUAACUUACUGAUAGUUAACAAUCCUAUAAUACUAAACAAAAUAUAAAACCAUUAUUAAUUCUAUUGUUAACCCAACACCGGUAUGCACUUCUCUAAAGGGAAAGAUUAAAAAGAAUAAAAGGAACUCGGCAAACAAAAACCCCGCCUGUUUACCAAAAACAUCACCUCUAGCAUCAAAAGUAUUAGAGGCCCUGCCUGCCCAGUGACAUAAGUUUAACGGCCGCGGUAUCCUGACCGUGCAAAGGUAGCAUAAUCACUUGUUCCUUAAAUAGGGACUUGUAUGAAUGGCUUGACGAGGGUUUAACUGUCUCUUAUUCUCAAUCAGUGAAAUUGACCUUCCCGUGAAGAGGCGGGAAUAAACUAAUAAGACGAGAAGACCCUAUGGAGCUUAAAUUUUAUAGUCUAGCAUAAAAAUAAUUAUACCCAUGGGACUACAAACUUAUUGCCUACAGACUACAAAUUUUGGUUGGGGUGACCUCGGAGCACAAAACAACCUCCGAAUGAUUCUAAUCUAGACUACACCCGUCUAAAUUAAUAUUCAUAAAUUGACCCAAAAUCUUGAUCAACGGAACAAGUUACCCUAGGGAUAACAGCGCAAUCCUACUCAAGAGUUCAUAUCGACAGUUAGGGUUUACGACCUCGAUGUUGGAUCAGGACAUCCAAAUGGUGUAACCGCUAUUAAUGGUUCGUUUGUUCAACGAUUAAAGUCCUACGUGAUCUGAGUUCAGACCGGAGAAAUCCAGGUCGGUUUCUAUCUAUUAUUAAAUUUCUCCCAGUACGAAAGGACAAGAGAAAUAAGGCCAAUUUAACUUAUACGCCUUAAGUAAAUAGAUGAUAUUAUCUAAAUCUAGUAUAUCCUUAUAUACCCUACCCUAGAACAGGGUU
rnacentral:rRNA from 1 species